rnacentral:rRNA from 1 species
CACGUAGGGCGCAAGCGUUGUCCGGAAUUAUUGGGCGUAAAGAGCUCGUAGGCGGUGUGUCACGUCGGCCGUGAAAACCUGGGGCUUAACUCUGGGCGUGCGGUCGAUACGGGCAUCACUAGAGUUCGGCAGGGGAGACUGGAAUUCCUGGUGUAGCGGUGAAAUGCGCAGAUAUCAGGAGGAACACCGGUGGCGAAGGCGGCCAACUGGGACGAAGACUGACGCUGAGACACGAAAGCGUGGGGAGCAAACAGG